rnacentral:rRNA from 1 species
CAGGUCUUGACAUCCUUUGACCACUCUAGAGAUAGAGCUUCCCCUUCGGGGGCAAAGUGACAGGUGGUGCAUGGUUGUCGUCAGCUCGUGUCGUGAGAUGUUGGGUUAAGUCCCGCAACGAGCGCAACCCUUAUUGUUAGUUGCCAUCAUUCAGUUGGGCACUCUAGCAAGACUGCCGGUGACAAACCGGAGGAAGGUGGGGAUGACGUCAAAUCAUCAUGCCCCUUAUGACCUGGGCUACACACGUGCUACAAUGGGAAGUACAACGAGUUGCGAAGUCGCGAGGCUAAGCUAAUCUCUUAAAGCUUCUCUCAGUUCGGAUUGCAGGCUGCAACUCGCCUGCAUGAAGCCGGAAUCGCUAGUAAUCGCGGAUCAGCACGCCGCGGUGAAUACGUUCCC